GCCUUUGAGUGAUAGCUCGGUUGGGAGAGCAUGAGACUCUUAAGCUCAGGGUUGUGAGUUUGAACCCCACAUUGGGCA